rnacentral:rRNA from 1 species
UACGGGGGGUGCAAGCGUUACUCGGAAUCACUGGGCGUAAAGAGCAUGUAGGCGGAUUAAUAAGUUUGAAGUGAAAUCCUAUAGCUUAACUAUAGAACUGCUUUGAAAACUGUUAAUCUAGAAUGUGGGAGAGGUAGAUGGAAUUUCUGGUGUAGGGGUAAAAUCCGUAGAGAUCAGAAGGAAUACCGAUUGCGAAGGCGAUCUACUGGAACAUUAUUGACGCUGAGAUGCGAAAGCGUGGGGAGCAAACAGGAUUAGAUACCCUGGUAGUCCACGCCCUAAACGAUGUACACUAGUUGUUGUGAGACUUGAUCUUGCAGUAAUGCAGUUAACACAUUAAGUGUACCGCCUGGGGAGUACGGUCGCAAGAUUAAA